rnacentral:pre_miRNA from 1 species
AGGCAAGAUGUCGGCAUAGCUGAAGGUGUUUGAAACGGCUAUGUCUCAUCCGGCCAAC